AACGAACGCUGGCGGCAGGCUUAACACAUGCAAGUCGAGCGCCCCGCAAGGGGAGCGGCAGACGGGUGAGUAACGCGUGGGAAUCUACCCAUCUCUACGGAAUAACGCAUGGAAACGUGUGCUAAUACCGUAUACGUCCUUCGGGAGAAAGAUUUAUCGGAGAUGGAUGAGCCCGCGUUGGAUUAGCUAGUUGGUGGGGUAAAGGCCUACCAAGGCGACGAUCCAUAGCUGGUCUGAGAGGAUGAUCAGCCACACUGGGACUGAGACACGGCCCAGACCCCUUCGGGAGCCAGCAGGGGGAAAUGUGGGACAGUGGGCGCAAGCCUGACCCAGCCUUGCCGCGUGAGUGUUGAAGCCCCUAGGCUUGCAAAGCUCUUUCACCGGUGAAGAUAAUGACGGAAACCGGAAAAAAAGCCCCGGCUAACUUCGUGCCAGCCGCCACAGAAAUAC
rnacentral:rRNA from 1 species